rnacentral:rRNA from 1 species
AGCGAAGCUUUUUGGUAGUUUACUACUAGAAAUGACUGAGCGGCGAACGGGUGAGUAACGCGUGAGCAAUCUACCUUAGUUACUGGGAUAGCCCGAGGAAACUCGGAUUAAUACCGGAUAUUCUUAUUUUUUUCACAUGAAGUUUUAAGGAAAGGUCAGCCGAACUAAGAUGAGCUCGCGUUCUAUCAGCUAGUUGGUGGGGUAAAAGCCUACCAAGGCUACGACGGAUAGCUGGUCUGAGAGGACGAUCAGCCACACUGGGACUGAGACACGGCCCAGACUCCUACGGGAGGCUGCAGCAGGGAAUAUUGUGCAAUGAGCGAAAGCUUGACACAGCGACACCGCGUGUGGGAUGACGGUUCUAGGAUUGUAAACCACUUUCAGGAGGGAAGAAAAUGACGGUACCUCCACAAGAAGACCCGGCCAACUAUGUGCCAGCAGCCGCGGUAAUACAUAGGGGUCAAGCGUUGUCCGGAUUUAUUGGGCGUAAAGAGCUCGUAGGCGGUUCAACAAGUCGGUCGUAAAAGUUUAGGGCUCAACCCUAAAAUGUCGAUCGAUACUGUUGUGACUAGGAUACGGUAGAGGUGAAUGGAAUUCCGAGUGUAGCGGUGAAAUGCGUAGAUAUUCGGAGGAACACCAAUUGCGAAGGCAGUUCACUGGACCGUGAUCGACGCUGAGGAGCGAAAGCUAGGGGAGCAAACAGGAUUAGAUACCCUGGUAGUCCUAGCUGUAAACGAUGGAUACUAGAUGUAGGAACUGGAUUGACGGUUUCUGUAUCGUAGCUAACGCGUUAAGUAUCCCGCCUGGGGAGUACGGUCGCAAGACUAAAACUCAAAG